UAUUAUUUUUAUAAUUUUUUCUUUUCCUUUAUCUCUUUUACUUUCUUUUAAUUAUUUUAAUUCUAAAUAAUAUACAUAAUCAAAAUAUUCAUCUCCAUUCAAUCAUCCCCCAUUUUAAUUUACAGAAAGCUCUCCUUCAUCCAGCCUCUUCCUCCACCUCUGAACAAUUUCAAGAUCUAAACUUCCCACCAUGGAUAUCAUAUCCAAAUCUCUCUCAAUAAGAGGAUCAGUAGCAUCAUCGAUUCAUCGUCCACUUUCCUCAAUAAUCACAUCUUGAGUUCCUUCUCUCUCUCUCUCCCACUUUUUUUUCUCUCUUCCACUUUUCUUGGCGCGGAGGGCUGCGACGGCGGCGACAGCGGCGGUGGCGGUGGCGGUGGCGGUGGCGGGGGAGUUGAUCUGUUUGUUGGUGGUGGUGUCUUGCACGAUUUCGUUAAAUAGAAUUGCAGAGAGCUUCAAAAUCAUGGUGAUCCCCCUUUCAGAAACCAAAGCCAAAAAAAUCCCCAAAUCCCUCAUUCAAAUCCCCAAAUCCAAACUCAGCCAAAUCAAAUCAAAAAGAAAUUCCUCAAAAAAAUCAUGGGAAAGUUUCAUAAUCUCAAAUGGAGUUGAUAAUCAAAUGGAAAGCAGUUGAUUGAUAAUCUCAGCCGAUUCUCUCACCGCUUGCCGUAAAUAUAGAAAGGAAAAGAUGAAUAGUAGAACAUGAACAGAAAGGUCUCAGCCAUUCUU
rnacentral:lncRNA from 1 species